GUCUACAACCAUACCAUGUUGAAAUCUCGUCCGAUCUGUGAAGUUAAGCAACAUUGGGCCUAGUUAGUACUUGGAUCGGAGACGGCCUGGGAAUCCCAGGUGUUGUAGACA
rfam:Brugia pahangi genome assembly, scaffold: BPAG_scaffold0000041